AUACUUACCUGUUCGGGCUGGGUUGGUGAUCAGGAAGGCCAACCAGCUAUUCUAGCUGCUCGCCUUGCACUUAGCCUGCGGCUUUGAGUAAGACUGCUCCAAGUGGGUAUGUCUACGGAAUAAUUUAUGGUAGGCUGAGGCGAGCGCAUGCGCUCCCUCGGC
rnacentral:snRNA from 1 species